rnacentral:rRNA from 1 species
CAACUUUCAACAACGGAUCUCUUGGCUCUCGCAUCGAUGAAGAACGCAGCGAAAUGCGAUACGUAAUGUGAAUUGCAGAAUUCAGUGAAUCAUCGAAUCUUUGAACGCACCUUGCGCCCCUUGGUAUUCCGAGGGACACACCCGUUUGAGUGUCGUGA